rnacentral:lncRNA from 1 species
GUCACAGCCCGCCCUAACUAGGGAUAGUUAGGCCGAGUGAUCCACGACUAGGGAUGGGGUUAAAGAAGAAGGGGAAGAAAAUGGACGUCAUUUAUAGCCGUAAAACUUACUCAUCUUAAUAAAACUCGUCAUUUUUAUUCAUUAAUACUCAAUUGAAAACAGUCUAUGAAAGACAGCAUAAAACUUAAUUAAUAUCAUUAAUCAAGUUAUACAUCAUAUGAAACCAUUUUAUUAAGACUCAAAGUAUGACAUAACAUACUAUAACAUCAACAACAUCUUGCAGCGGAAUGUAGCUAGACAUAUGUAUGAAGACAUAUUCUAGACAGGUUAACUAUUUAUUAACAACCCUGGAGACUCCGCUCAUUGUAGCACCAUCACCACAUCAGCUCAACCUGCACAUUUAGAAAACAUAUGCAGGGCUGAGUACAAAAGUACUCAGUGGGCACGUAUGCCUAAGUAUAAAAAUACAUGCUUCAAAACUGUAAAUUGUCAUGCCAUCAUAAACAGUACAGCAAGGGAGUUUUAGCUAAAAGGCCCAAGCUUACUAAAUUCAUUUGUGAUUCUUAAAGUUCGACUGAUCAGUCUAAGUUCUCUUGUAAUCUAUCAUAUCUGGAAUUGUGUGCCGGAGAGGUGGCCACCUCUCACGGUCACUUGACCGGCCAACCCGCUAGAUGACUCACGGUCACUGGUGUACACUAGCCCUGGCAGGAUAGCUAUCAACUGCUCAGGACUCGAAUUCGAUUGCAUCAUUGGCAAAGCCAAAGCAGAUAGAUAUCAUACUAAAAUUUAAACAUUUUAUGGCAAGACAACAGUUGUAAUAUUUUCCAGUUCAAAAAUUUGUAACGAAAUAACUUGUUCAAAGGUAGCAUUAAACUCGUUUGAUAGAUAUAUAAAACUGAAAUUAACAGUUAAAUCAUCUCAUGCAUUCAUUCGUAUAAUAAAACUUGCUCACAAUGACAUACGUAACAAAACUUCACAUAAUCAAUCAGUCACGUAAUUUCACAUAAUAUCACGUCAAAGCAGUCGACAAACACAGACAAACUAGACGUCUCUCCGACCGGCUUUUUUUUU